GAUGAAGAACGUAGCGAAAUGCGAUACGUAAUGUGAAUUGCAAAUUCAGUGAAUCAUCGAGUCUUUGAACGCACAUUGCGCCCCCUGGUAUUCCGGGGGGCAUGCCUGUCCGAGCGUCAUUGCUGCCCUCAAGCACGGCUUGUGUGUUGGGCCCCGUCCUCCGAUCCCGGGGGACGGGCCCGAAAGGCAGCGGCGACACCGCGUCCGGUCCUCGAGCGUAUGGGGCUUUGUCACCCGCUCUGUAGGCCCGGCCGGCGCUUGCCGAUCAACCCAAAUUUUUAUCCAGGUUGACCUCGGAUCAGGUAGGGAUACCCGCUGAACUUAAGCAUAUCAAUAAGCGGAGGA
rnacentral:misc_RNA from 1 species